CUACGCACUCCUACGGGAGGCAGCAGUGGGAAUAUUGCACAAUGGGCGCUAAGCCUGAUGCAGCCAUGCCGCGUGUAUGAAGAAGGCCUUCGGGUUGUUAAAGUACUUUCAGCAGUGAGGAAGGUGGGUAUGUUAAUAGCAUACUCAUUUGACGUUAGCUGCAGAAGAAGCACCGGCUAACUCCGUGCCAGCAGCCGCGGUAAUACGGAGGGUGCGAGCGUUAAUCGGAAUUACUGGGCGUAAAGCGCAUGCAGGUGGUUUGUUAAGUCAGAUGUGAAAGCCCGGGGCUCAACCUCGGAAUUGCAUUUGAAACUGGCAAACUAGAGUACUGUAGAGGGGGUAGAAUUUCAGGUGUAGCGGUGAAAUGCGUAGAGAUCUGAAGGAAUACCGGUGGCGAAGGCGGCCCCCUGGACAGAUACUGACACUCAGAUGCGAAAGCGUGGGGAGCAAACAGGAUUAGAUACCCUGGUAG
rnacentral:rRNA from 1 species